GCCAGACUCCUACGGGAGGCAGCAGUGGGGGAUAUUGCACAAUGGGGGGAACCCUGAUGCAGCGACGCCGCGUGGGUGAAGGAGUAUUUCGGUAUGUAAAGCCCUAUCGGCAGGGAAGAAGCAAGACGGUACCUGACUAAGAAGCCCCGGCUAACUACGUGCCAGCAGCCGCGGUAAUACGUAGGGGGCGAGCGUUAUCCGGAUUCACUGGGUGUAAAGGGAGCGUAGACGGCCAUGCAAGCCAGGGGUGAAAGCCCGGGGCCCAACCCCGGGACUGCCCUUGGAACUGUGCGGCUAGAGUGCGGGAGGGGCAGGCGGAAUUCCUGGUGUAGCGGUGAAAUGCGUAGAUAUCAGGAGGAACACCGGUGGCGAAGGCGGCCUGCUGGACUGCAACUGACGUUGAGGCCCGAAAGCGUGGGGAGCAAACAGGAUUAGAUACCCUAGUAC
rnacentral:rRNA from 1 species